GGAUGAACGCUAGCUACAGGCUUAACACAUGCAAGUCGAGGGGCAGCAUGGUCUUAGCUUGCUAAGGCCGAUGGCGACCGGCGCACGGGUGAGUAACACGUAUCCAACCUGCCGUCUACUCUUGGACAGCCUUCUGAAAGGAAGAUUAAUACAAGAUGGCAUCAUGAGUCCGCAUGUUCACAUGAUUAAAGGUAUUCCGGUAGACGAUGGGGAUGCGUUCCAUUAGAUAGUAGGCGGGGUAACGGCCCACCUAGUCUUCGAUGGAUAGGGGUUCUGAGAGGAAGGUCCCCCACAUUGGAACUGAGACACGGUCCAAACUCCUACGGGAGGCAGCAGUGAGGAAUAUUGGUCAAUGGGCGAGAGCCUGAACCAGCCAAGUAGCGUGAAGGAUGACUGCCCUAUGGGUUGUAAACUUCUUUUAUAAAGGAAUAGAGUCGGGUAUGCAUACCCGUUUGCAUGUACUUUAUGAAUAAGGAUCGGCUAACUCCGUGCCAGCAGCCGCGGUAAUACGGAGGAUCCGAGCGUUAUCCGGAUUUAUUGGGUUUAAAGGGAGCGUAGAUGGAUGUUUAAGUCAGUUGUGAAAGUUUGCGGCUCAACCGUAAAAUUGCAGUUGAUACUGGAUAUCUUGAGUGCAGUUGAGGCAGGCGGAAUUCGUGGUGUAGCGGUGAAAUGCUUAGAUAUCACGAAGAACUCCGAUUGCGAAGGCAGCCUGCUAAGCUGCAACUGACAUUGAGGCUCGAAAGUGUGGGUAUCAAACAGGAUUAGAUACCCUGGUAGUCCACACGGUAAACGAUGAAUACUCGCUGUUUGCGAUAUACAGCAAGCGGCCAAGCGAAAGCGUUAAGUAUUCCACCUGGGGAGUACGCCGGCAACGGUGAAACUCAAAGGAAUUGACGGGGGCCCGCACAAGCGGAGGAACAUGUGGUUUAAUUCGAUGAUACGCGAGGAACCUUACCCGGGCUUAAAUUGCAGAUGAAUUACGGUGAAAGCCGUAAGCCGCAAGGCAUCUGUGAAGGUGUUGCAUGGUUGUCGUCAGCUCGUGCCGUGAGGUGUCGGAUUAAGUGCCAUAACGAGCGCAACCCUUGUUGUCAGUUACUAACAGGUUCCGCUGAGGACUCUGACAAGACUGCCAUCGUAAGAUGUGAGGAAGGUGGGGAUGACGUCAAAUCAGCACGGCCCUUACGUCCGGGGCUACACACGUGUUACAAUGGGGGGUACAGAGGGCCGCUACCACGCGAGUGGAUGCCAAUCCCAAAAACCUCUCUCAGUUCGGACUGGAGUCUGCAACCCGACUCCACGAAGCUGGAUUCGUUAGUAAUCGCGCAUCAGCCACGGCGCGGUGAAUACGUUCCCGGGCCUUGUACACACCGCCCGUCAAGCCAUGGGAGCCGGGGGUACCUGAAGUGCGUAACCGCGAGGAGCGCCCUAGGGUAAAAC
rnacentral:rRNA from 1 species